GAUGAACGCUAGCGGCAGGCCUAACACAUGCAAGUCGAGGGGUAACAUAGAAAAGCUUGCUUUUCCGAUGACGACCGGCGCACGGGUGCGUAACGCGUAUACAACCUACCUUUUAGCGGGGAAUAGCCCAGGGAAACUUGGAUUAAUGACCCCAUAGUAUAUAGACUUCUCCUGAAGUUUAUAUUAAACAUUUAUGGCUAUUAGAUGGGUAUGCGUCCUAUUAGUUAGUUGGUAAGGUAACGGCUUACCAAGGCAGCGAUAGGUAGGGGUCCUGAGAGGGAGAUCCCCACACUGGUACUGAGACACGGACCAGACUCCUACGGGAGGCAGCAGUGAGGAAUAUUGGACAAUGGGCGAGAGCCUGAUCCAGCCAUGCCGCGUGCAGGAAGACUGCCCUAUGGGUUGUAAACUGCUUUUACAGAGGAAGAACCACCCCCACGUGUGGGGGUUUGACGGUACUCUGCGAAUAAGGAUCGGCUAACUCCGUG
rnacentral:rRNA from 1 species